CUCGAAGCUGGUGGCGGGCGGCUCGCCGCGCGCCGGCUUCGCGCGCCGGCUCGCGCGGCCGUUCGGCGAGCGGCUCGCCGAGC
rnacentral:tRNA from 1 species